UACGAAGGGUGCAAACGUUGCUCGGAAUUAUUGGGCGUAAAGCGCACGUAGGCGGCAUUGCAAGUCGGAUGUGAAAUCCCUCGGCUUAACCAAGGAAGUGCAUCCGAAACUGCAGUGCUUGAGUACUUAAGAGGAUCGCGGAAUUCCCGGUGUAGAGGUGAAAUUCGUAGAUAUCGAGAGGAACACCGGUGGCGAAGGCGGCCUUCUGGACAGUGACUGACGCUGAGACGCGAAAGCGUGGGAGCAAACAGG
rnacentral:rRNA from 1 species